rnacentral:tRNA from 1 species
ACUAUUUUGACAGACAAGUGUGAUGAUUUUAGAAUUCAUUUAUAUAUAAUGAUUUAUUUAUAUAGAUAGUA